UCCUGAGGAGCUGACAUCGCAGGCUCCUGUUUCCAGCCCCUCCAGCCAUUUCGAAGCGUCCCACCCGAUGUGGCGGAUUGAAUUCUCACGCCAGUUGCCUCCGGCACAGCUGUCGGCUCCACUGCGGGUUUGCCUUCCCAGGACCCAGCAGGACUCGCUCCCCGGCACCGAAAAGCAUCACAAUAAAUCCCAUUUAACUCUCCAGCGCUGUUCAGUCGGAUUUUGUUUAAGCCCUUGUGUGAAGUUGAGUCCGUGCUGCAUUUUACUGUUCUUAAACCACAACAGAGACUCUGCUUUUGGUGUUUUCCAGCCACAUAUUUACUGUUCACAGUAGUAGUUUUCAUAUUAAAAUGGAGACAGGGGACUUCCAACUUCUUUUCGCUAUGGGUUUUCGGACAUUUUGCUGCUUGCUUGCCCGUGUUUUUUAAAGUCUUAGCGCGUGUGAAAUGUGUUCAUCGUGUUAGGAGUUUACGGUGAUAGAUUUAUUUUAAUCUCUAAAUUGUAGCUAUUUGUAAUUGGCUCCAAGGCCAUCUCUUUCCAUUCCAAGCGUGAAGUGGAAAGCCUGUCCUGUGAAAUGGGUUGCUGAGGCUGGAGGUUUUUGAGAAUUCAUGUUCUGAACAGCGUUUUUUGUUUGUUUGGUUUGAUUUCUGUUUCUUUUCCUCCUGCAGACCAGCCAUUUUAAGCACAGGACACAGCCUCCUAUCGCAAGAAGCACAGAUGCCUACAGCCCACCAAAAAUCCAUGCCCAGAAGACACAGAAAGAUGAAACUUUGCCAACCUGUGGUUCUGGUUUUGAAAAAUCACUGUGAUAAUCCACAUCUGAUAAUUCAUCCCCAAUAUCUAUCAUUGUGAGGUUUAAAACUCCAAACGCUGGAAACACUCUUAAGCAGGUGCUUAGGCUCAGCUCCAACAGCCUCUGGAAUCCCUUGAGAGCGGUAGAUUCCUGCGUAGAAAGGAUGAUGUUCUGUUGUUUGUGAGAAUUUGUUUUUAAAUGAUUUUUUAGUAUGUUCAUUCCAGGGCUCUGGACUUUCAGAAAUGCUGUGUCUGCUCAGCCUAAGGACAGCAGGUAAGUUAAAUAUAUGAAAAAGUAAUAGAAGAAUGCGUUGUAAUAGUGUCCCUUCCCAUCGGAUGAGCUGAGCGGCAGCUGCUGCGGUACCAACCCGAACCCUUGGCUUUGGUGAAACAAACAAUCUAAGCUCGUUUCAUGCCAACCUCUGCAUUUUGCAACAGAAAUGAAGUCAAAUGAACUGUUGUUUUCUCGAAUUCCCUUCUCAGAAAUCCUUUGCCGCUCGCUGUUUGGAGCCAGGGCUGUAUCCUGGCUCUGGAGCGCCCGUGCUGGGAUACAUGAGCUUCUCUACUGAUUUCUCUGCUAAAUUUAAGAACUGUUGGUGAUCUGCUUUGUGAUUGUUACAGAUGCUCUAUUUUAUUUAAUUGCUAAUGUCACCUUUCGGUAUUUUCCUCCAGUAUCUGGGAGCUGAGGGGCACUUUGGAUGACAAAGGCACAGAAAUACGGACGGUCUCUCGGCAAUAGCCACUAGAUGGCAAAACAGACACUUUGUGCAUCAAAAAUAUGUAGUGACAUCCUCGAUAAAACAACGUGCCUGUGCUUUCCCAGUGGCUGUUAUAAGCUGCUUCUAUAAAUAUAUACAUUUUUAUAAGCUGUUUUGGCAUGUUUGGAUACUACACACGAAGAAUCUUCAGUUUAAAAGUCUGUAAAUGCUCCCAUUCUCAGUCACAUCUUGGUCGUUCAGGGGCUAAGCCCACCCAGAGUAUUUUAGCAGAAGAAUUUGCCGUACCAGAGAGUUUGAAGAGAAUAAUGCACUAAACAGCCCUGUGAGAGUGUUAAUAAAGCUGUGGCAGACCCGACUCACCUGUUAAUCACAGUUUGGAUGUUGUUUCCCUUCUUAAAUCACAGAAGGCUCAAAGACCUGGGACCUGUUCAGGACAGAGGCUUUGUAAAUACUUUUUUGUAUUUAUAACCAUGUAAAUGAAUAUUUGAGAAUAGUCUCUGCUCCAAAUAUUUUACAGGCACAAGCACUAGUCUCGUUAAGAAACUGAGGGGAAACACAGACACUCCGGGCAUUUUCUGAAGCCUGCGCUUACAUUACGCUGUUUGUUGUGCUGACUCUAUGAGAUUUUGUCCUCUGUGGAGUCUGUCCCUGUGCUUUUCCCUACUGGAGACGUCUCAAGUUACAGAUUUCCAUCGUGGUCUGGGUUUUCUUGUUUUCUCAAUAGCUUUCGGGGGCCCUCGUAGGGAUGUUUCCAGUUCGUUCUCUCUUGUGACAGUAAAGAUCUUGGCUGGCUCCCUUCAGACAACGUUCACACAUCCAAAACUGUCCUGCCCUCGUUGUCCUGUUCCCUGACAAUGCUGUUUGCACCGUACUGCUCUGCUGAUCGUACCUUUUUGGGUUGUGGCAUCUCUUCUUCAUAGGUGCUGCAGGUGGAACUGCACACCUGGGUCCUACCAUGGGCCUUCAGUGGCAAGUGCGUUCCCUCUCCCAAGAUUGUGCUUGGAAGAGCAGAUAACCUCUUUUUCCCCAAAACUAUGAUCUAAAAUAUCAUUUUUUGGAAUGUAGUGGGAACCUCCUGUUCUGGAAUGAUGAACUAAGCAGAACUAGGUUUCUUCUGCUUCUCUGUGUCUCUGGCAGACUGGACAUUAAAGUCUACAUAUUAAACUUAGGCACAACACCAAUGACAAUAAGUCAGGUCUAAGCAGAAAUGGGGGAUGUGAAUCAGAUUUUUGAGCAGUCAUUUAUUAUCAUUUAUUAUAUUUAUUAUAUUACCAUUUAUUAUAUCACUGGCCUUCUGAAUGGAAGGCUAUACAUAAUGCUAUGGAAAACACAACAUGAUGCUGGUCACUUCAGCAUCAUAAUGUUCAUAUGGCCACACAGAGAUUUCACGAAAUAUCGGAAGUCUUGAUUUUGCUAAAUUUAAGUACUUGCCUUCAGAAUCUUAGUGCUGAUAUUCUAAUAUUUGUAUUAAUUAUUCCAUUUGUAGCUCUUGUGGCUUCGAGCAGUUCUGGCGGUUUCAAUGGCAAUGGAUGUGGUGAAGGUGGGUCUCCCGUUGCUGCUGUCUGGAGGCUUCGCGGGUGGUGGAAGGAGAGCUGGAGGUCUGGAAAGUGCUGCUGGGCACCAUCCUGAUUUCUGAACAAAAAGCACAGGGUGCUCAGAGCUCAGUUUAAGCUGCUCACCAUGGUCCCUUGGGUGCCUGCUCAGGUCAGGCCUGGAGCUACCGGGUCCUGUUCCCAUAAACAAUUUGACUAUGAUUAGAAAAAACAAAUGUCCCCAAACCCUUCUUGUGACACGAUGGUUUUGAGCUGUAAAAGUUGACUCCCUGGGAUGUCCUUUGUUUGCAACGAUUUCCCAUGAGGCAAAAGAAAAACAAACAAAAACCUACAAACCUGCUAAUGGAGUAACAACAUAUUUCCCAAGAAUGUUAAAUAUAUAAUAAUAGAGCUGGAAUUACAACAGGUGGGCAACAUGUCUUUGAUAGACAUGAGAUACAUGAAUAGCCGUGUAAUACAACUUGCUGGUCCCAGUUUACAGCAAGGGUAAUGUAUUUGUUAUUUUAUAAAGGGUUAAUCAAUGAUUAACAGACAUUACAAUUACUGGUUAAUUGAUUGUUGUAGACAGUUCACACAUGGCUUGCAGCUAUCUAUAACAUUGCAUUCAUGCUGUAACGUAUUUAUAGCAGUUAUUAAUCAUGCACUAGUGUUUUUUAAAUGUUCUCAUUUUAUUAGGUGUAACCAAAUUUUCAAUAGCACAUCAGUGAACUUGAGUUCUGCCUUCACAUUAGCAAAAGGGAAAAUAUAGAAAAGCAGUUAACUCGGCCUUGCUUUCUUUAAUUUGAGGAAACCAUCAGCUGCAUGAAUUGGAGGCACUAUCACAUUAUGAAAGCAAUUUUAAGUAAAACAUGCCAUUUAUGGAAGGAGCACACUUAAAGAUUUUUGUAAUUACAAAUAUUUGUACUGUUAAGUGAAUUGCAUUACAGUACUUGUUGUUGCUUUAUUUCCCUGGAGGACUCUUCUGUAGUGGGAGCUUUGUUAUGCUGAUAAAUGUGCCUGAAAGCUUUAUAAUGUACUGAUGCAUUGUAAUGAUAAAUAGAACUGGUUAAGUAGUAAAGAUCAAACACACAAUUAAACAGACUGUAAUAUACAUCUUGCUGAGCAAGGGAAAACAAUAGUGGAAUCAGUAAAGAUGGAUACAAAUGGUUUUAUUGAACUAAGCAAAAAAUAUUCUCUUAUGCCUACAAAAUGAGGAAAUCUGGCCUGAUACUUGCAUGAGCAGACUUAUAAAGUGCUUAAUCAGAUAUAAAAUAUUUUUAAGAUGUUCAGCAUUUCUAAUCAAUGGACAGGGCUUUCUCAGACUGUCCAGAGUAAUAGAGAUGUGCAACAAAGCAGAGGUGAAGCAAAUCAGCGCAGCAUGGGGUUGCUGGGAGAGGAGCCUGGGCACAGCAGGCAGGGCUCGCAGCUCUGACCCAGCAGGAAAUGAACAAAAACAUGUUGCACUUGACAAAAAUAAUAGAACGGAAUAUUGGCAGCACCUGCUUCCAUUGUCCAGAAUGUCCUUUCCUAGAACCUUUCCCAGCAGGGAGGCUGGUUUGCACAUGGCGAGGCCACAGAGGUUUCACACUUCUUAGUGCUGUUUGCUCUUCCAAAUACCAGGAGAAAAUGUGAUUCAGAAGGGGCAUGCUGGAAGAAGGAAGAACGGCUGUGCAUUACUUGAGAGUCACAAAAAUAAACCUCUAACGUGAAGGCACCGAGGGGGACUUUCAUUCAAAACCCAGAGCAGCAUCUGUGCAACCUGUUUGCAGAUUAUCCUUGUGCAUUCCAACUUUGAAUUACUCUGAAGGGUGUUCUAAGUGAAUUUCCUUUACAGGGGUUACCCAUAGCCAAGCCAGGGCAAGAAGAAUUUCAUAGCUCAUUGUACAGAUGCUAUGGUGAAAUAACUCCUAGAGGAGUUAGAAUUAGGCAGGGUGUAACAGCCAGAAGAAACGCUAAUUCUCCUGGAUUGACUUUAUGCGAGCUCUUACCCUACACAGUGCUUUGCCCACCUGGAAUAGCAUAAGCUGUUUAGAUUCCUUUGCAGGAUCUGGGUAUUAGCAAGGCUCAGGGGAGAGACCAAAUCCUGCUUCACUGGUGCCAACUCCCAAAACCCUUAAGCCUCGUGCACACUGGCCAAUUAUCAUGUAAAAUCCCCCUGGUGCUCACCAAGUUCUCCUGUACCACCAGGAACCACCUAACAGACGAAAAGCAUCCAUUUGCAACGUGGCAAAUGUAUUUCCCAAGGAUGUACAGCAUGAAGCAUUCCAGCCAACAAACCCGUUAUUUCUAAUUUACCAUGUGUUGUUAACUACGAAAAGAUUUGCGUGCCCUCCAGGAAGCUGGGCUUAUUUAACGAGAAGCAGGGGAGCUGUAAAUGCUUCCAACUUCUGUAGUUUAAGAGAAAAAGGAGUGGCCAAAGGAGGUGGUGUCCCCCCAUGCAUCUGGCUUCUCACAACCCGGGCUACAGGUGUUGCUCGAUGCAAAGAGGAAUAUAUAGGAGUUCUCAGGAAUAUACACAGUAAAAGAGCUGGUUUCUUCUUUGUAAGAAAACUUAUUUCUUCCCCAAGAACUGCAUGUCACUCCGCCGAGAUAUUUAGAUGUCUAACUGCCACUUAGGCACCUAAAUACCUUUACAGAUUUGGGCUUUGGUCCUAAUUGUGUUGCUGCAGUCCACGAUGUCCCCAGGUUUGCACGACAGGCACCAGAUCGGAAUAGACUGCAGAGAGAAGCACAGCCCAGCAGCCACUGGCUUUGAUUUAAUUGGGUUGAGCUGGUUUAUGGUCCCUCGAUAUACGUAUUUUUUUCCUCGUUGAAAAAAGGAUGUGUCUGCCAAGGCCGGAACGAAAGCGGGAGCUGUCUGGAGGUGAAAUUGCAGACUGACGGGGACAACCCUGCUCGAUGGGAAGUAGACUCCGAAGGGUUUUGUGAUGUCUGUCGGUUUAUGCCAUUUCUCCGUCACCGAGUUUGCAGUCCAAAGAUUAUUUUGGAUGCCUGCCUAUUCCCAGAAGCUCCGCGUGCUCAGAACAAUUUCAGCUCUGCAUUAAGACAAUAAUUAUAAUCGAAUCUCAUGCUCCGCUGCCUCGGCCAGUCACCUCCAUGGAGCAGAUGGGAAGGGGACUUGGAUCAGCAAGGGUUUUCCCUCUCGGUAUACAACGGGUCUGAUGUCUUCAGAAAAGGCUUUUUGGUUUUUCCCUUUGGCUCCCCUCUGCUUCCCUCAUGGCAUCAGGGACCAGCUGCAGCUGGAAAAUCAUGGACAGGGUUUGAAGUACAGCGAAGGAGACAAUUAUUUUGUCUGCUGCCUGUCUGCUUUGCCUUGUUCAGACACUCAGGCUGCAGAGAAAUCCAGGCUGGGAGCAGGCAGGGAAAGCAAAAUGGUUUUGUGGUAGCCCCUUCUGCAUCUGCAGACCUUCAGUGACAGAUCUGAGACCUGCCUCUGAGCUCAGCCUGGUUGGUUAGUCCUGGUUCUACACUCCCACAAAGCUUAGAUCAGUCGUUAAAAGAUUAGCCAUUGACCUGCAAAUAGGCGUCGUGAUGUCCUGCCUUUGCAAACGGGGUUGUAAGAACGUGUGGAAGUUGCUGCUGGUGUUGACCGUGCAACGGUAAACUGUUUGAUCACCUGGGUAAACUGUUCAAUUACCUUGUUCAGCAUGAACGCAGGGGCAGACAUAGGUGGUGAGUUCACCACGUUGGAAAGCUGUUCCUCAAAGCAUCCAUCCCUCCAGCUUCCUCUGCAAGCCAGGUUUAAGGUGAGAUGUGAUUAAAUCUCUUUUGUUGGAUGGUCCCUCUGUGCUUUGCCACCUCGAUCCAAAAAGUAGGAGGGCGCCUGCUCAGCUCUGGUGCCAUCUUGACCCCCUAAAUGGUGUGUUAGGUCUCUAGAAAAUUACAAACUGAGGAAAGAGCUGUCUUUGGGAAAACUUUCCUGGGACAGGGACAAAGCUGCUGAAUGGACUGUGUGCCUGUUUUAAAACACACACCUCCACUGCAUGUUGGGUGGUUUCAUUAACAGCCAGUCCUGUGUCACUGCGGUGUAGUGGUUGCUGCAACGCUUGAGCUAGAGGAGCAUCUCGCAAUGCCCCUGUGCAUUUGUGCUCCUGAAACAGGCCUGGAGCAAGGAGCCACUGCUUCAACGGCGUGUGUUUGUUUAUUUUGUUGUUGCUGUUGUUUUGUUUGUUUGUUUUUAAUUUAUUUUCGGCAAUGUCUGAUGAUUUCUCAUUGGUACUGUAGCUGUUCUAUAUUUUUUUCUCCAUUUUGGCUUAUUAGAGCAGGAAAUUACAUGUAAACGUUAUGUGGAAUAGCUGCUGAAUGUUUGAAUUUUUACUGCGCUCUCAUGCUACAUCUUUAGACGUCACUGAUUUUUCUUCCCCCUGCUUUUUUUCCCUUAAAGGCCGAUGAGGCUGACUGUGGCUUUGUGCGUUUCAAUAGAUACAGAGAUUGUUACCACAUCCUGUUUUAUCCCGUGACUGCUAUUAAAGAGAUAGUUGUUCUCCCGAAGGUGAUUGCAGUGAUUGCUGUCAAAAAAACAAGCUCUAUGCAGACUCUUUUCCCAGAUUUGGGUUCUUCACCAAAUUUAUGAUGGUGUUUUAGAUCUGGACCCUCGCCUUGUUCACAUGGCCGGCUGAUUCACACAGGCGCCUCUGGGGAGUAUUUAAGAACUGUUGUGUGUUCACAGGAAAGGGGCCGGCAGCACCCACAUGACAGCAGAGAACUGUAUUUAUCCAGUGACUCAAAAGCCCUGACUGGACAAAGUCUUUGGAGAUUUUGCAAGACCUUCAGGGGUGAGAUUCCCUUUUAGAAACCCAGAGAAUUCAGUUCAAAAAGGACAGUGAACUGCUGGAGAGAGUCCAGUGCAGAGCAAUGAAGAUGAUGGAGUGGAGCAUCUCCAGUGUGAGGAAAGGCUGAGGGAGCUGGGGCUCUGGAGCUUGGAGAAGAGGAGACUGAGGGGUGACCUCAUUAAUGGUUAUAAAUAUAUAAAGGGUGAGUGUCAGGAGGAUGGAGCCAGGCUCUUCUCGGUGACAACCAAUGGUAGGACAAGGGGUAAUGGGUACAAACUGGAACACAAGAGGUUCCACUUAAAUUUGAGAAGAAACUUCUUUUCAGCGAGGGUGCCAGAGCCUGGCCCAGGCUGCCCAGGGAGGUUGUGGAGUCUCCUUCUCUGCAGACAUUCCAACCCGCCUGGACACCUUCCUGUGUAACCUCAUCUGGGUGUUCCUGCUCCGGCGGGGGGAUUGGACUGGAUGAGCUUUUGAGGUCCCUUCCAAUCACCAGGUUGCACUCUGCAAUCCCAAAGAGGUGACCAGUGAGCUGUGCCCCAGGGAUGGAGCUGAUGCAGACACCUCCAGGAGAUGUUUACGGACGUCUAAUCAAUUAUUGCAUUGUUAGCUUUCUUGGCUUUGUCGGCCAGGCAAAGCUCGUGGGAUCUCAUGUUUAUUCCAGCGAGGAGGAGAAAAUGAUGACACCAAGGAGGAAUGCAGCUCUCGGCCAAGGCGAUGGGCAAGCUCCCUUGCUGCUCAUCUUCAGCAUGUCAUCCCCACACGUGGUCACACCAGCUUGCCAGCCUCCUCCUCCUCUCCCAAAUUCUCCCGUCUCCUGCUCCUCCCUGUCCACAGCCCCCCAGGCUCCCCACGUGUGCUCCCUAUGUGUCUGCAGUGCUGCCGUGGGGAUGUGGGGAGGGGAAACUGCUAAACCAGCAGCAUCCCUUCGUGGAGGAGAUCAGCUAUUUCUUGCUCUUUUCUUAAACAGCGUGCAGCAGGCUCACAUCCACGCUCCCAGAAGCAGCUGUCUUGAUGAAUAUUUGCCCAAAUCAUUAUGCUAUCUAGCAGUUAGCCUGCAAAAGGGCCCAGCACCAUUUGUAUGGUAAUGGAAGGCUUUCUCAGAAAUGUUUUGGAAGCAAUCAGCUAAACUAAUAGGAUUUUAUGUAAACCAAUCUCUUCUUUUAGAUCAGGGUUGGGUUUUUUUCUUUUUCUGGAGAGGAGGGUAAGGGCUUUUUAAUAAAUGCAAAUUGAUAUUCCAAUGAAAAUGGAAAUGAGAGAAAAAGUUCAUCGCUGGGGUAAAACGUUGUGACUUCGCUCCAGCAGCAGAGUCGUGUGUGAUUCUCUGCACAUCCCCCAGCAGCCACAUCGAAUUUCUGAUGUGCUGAGGCAAGGUGCAACGAGGAGAAAAGCUUUCUUCCACUUUCAGACUAUUAUAAGACAUAGACCAGGUUGGACUUUCCAUCUUUACAUCAAAGCUGCACUGUAGGAGGUUUUUCCAGUCCUGAACCUCUGCAAGAAGGUCAUGGCAAGUGUUCACAGAGAGGAUGAGCAGGCUCAGACUGUUGUUAUUUCUCAUUACUGCCUUGAAUCAGCAGCUCUGGUGCUCUGUAACUUGAGCUUUUUGUACCUCUCCAGCAGGAUCUAAGAAAAGUAAAGGAUGAGAAGCACUCAGAAAUCUGAUUUAUGACGUGUGUUUGAAGCUUUGCUUUUAAGAUAAGUGCUUUGCACUGGGAAGUUGCUGACUGCAUCCACCUACUACCAAGGGCUUUUGCUGCAAACCCCAAAUGUUUUUGCACUUGGGACACAGCUGAGGUGACUUUCUUGGCCCUGCUCCCACUUGUCGUGCUGUAAAAGGGCCUGACACGUGACAGCAGACCGUCUGCGUGGAGCGUGGGCUGGCUGGGAUUGCUGCGGUCAAUCAUAAACUCUGACCAGUCUGUAGACAUGAUGGUGGUGUUCGAAGUGCUGUUUGGGGAGACUCAGGCCAAUGAGGGUCAGGCAUCUGGAAGGGUUUCAGGUGAGAAACUCUCACCUUACAAUGAUGAACCUGAAUUUGGAGCAGCAGGAUUUGGUGUUUGUCAAUGUUGUGUAGCAAAGGACAGCAAAGAGACCUUGGAGAGGCGGUGGAGAGCACCCUCCAGCAGCAUGUGGACAGCAUGGACAGGCCAAGCAUCAGCCGGGUGGGGUUGUACACCCACGAGCCGUGUCACAGGAUGCUGUUUGAACUUGUUAACAGUGUAAAUGUGUCAAACAAACAAGUAUGCGGGAAGUGGCGCAGUGAAUACUUGUUUUACUCAUUUAUUGUUAGGUGACACGAGCAAGGUAUGCAUGCCACAACGAGGAACGGCAAAUGUGCUGAGAUGGCAUGCGGUCCCUUGGAAAGUCCCAAAUGUCUUGCACAGGAGGUGGAGAAAAACAGUGAUUUUCUACUGUUCUAGGCUUGAUCUUGUGUCAUGCCGUGACAGGAACAGGAGGCAGUCUGGUGUCAUCGGGAGCAAUGUGUUUUGAUUAAGAGAGUGGAGCAUUUCCCUUAUGAGGAAAGGCUGAGGGAGCUGGGGCUCUGGAGCUUGGAGAAGAGGAGACUGAGGGGUGACCUUAUUAAUGUUUACAGAUAUAUAAAGGGUGCGUGUCAGGAGGAUGGAGCCAGGCUCUUCUCGGUGACAACCAAUGAUAGGACAAGGGGUAAUGGGUUCAAACUGGAACACAAAAGUUUCCACUUAAAUUUGAGAAGAAACUUCUCAGUGAGGGUGACAGAGCCUGGACCAGGCUGCCCAGGGAGGUUGUGGAGUCUCCUUCUCUGCAGACAUUCAAACCCACCUGGACACCUUCCUGUGUAACCUCAUCUGGGUGUUCCUGCUCCAUGGGGGGAUUGCACUGGAUCAGCUUUCCAGGUCCCUUCCAAUCCCUGACAUCCUGCGAUUCUGUGAUUCUGUGAUUCUGUGAUGGGGCAGUGGUGGCUGAGGAAAGCAAGUAGCAGUUGGUACUUUAUCGCACUAACACUGAGCUCAAUCUCCUGCCCUGGCCUACCAGCCUCUUUAAUCAAUUUCUUGUCCUGCUGUCGUGUCUGGAAGUUGGUACCCAAGGUUCAGCUCGAGGUGUGCUCCUAAACCACCUGGAGAAAAAAGAUGGGUGUUCAUCCACAAUGUCCUGGCUUUUAUAGCUUCUUGGUUGAAAAAUACCUUCCUCUCCCCAGCCACUUUUUCCUGACUCUUCAUCGGUGCAAAGACAGCUAUCGGUGGUGCUACUCUGCAACCAGAUUGCUGAAAUGAUUUGAGGUAAAAAUUCUUCAAAGAAAUAAUUCUGAAGGUUUAUUUUUUAGCAUAUGCCACAUCAUUGUCAAAGGCUGGUAUAGAAUUCCUUCAUAGUAAUUCCUCCUUUGUGACGGAUUCACAGAAUGUGACAGAAAGACCUUGCCCAAGUUUUGGCCAUAUGCAAAAAGACAAGGUCUGAUCAGUGUCCUAUAAUGUGAAAACAAAGAUCUGACCUAUAAAUAUGCCUGGUGAGUUAUUAUUAGGCUUACCUGAAAAUAGUCUAGUUUUCCAACAAUAGAACCCAACUUUUCAACAAGAAGAGUUAAAUCUAAGAUAUUAAAUAUGCAUUUAUUCAAAUAUAUUUUCAUAUUUGAAACCAUGUGGAUCAGUAUGAGUAGCUUCAGAGGAAAGAACAUGUGUUUUUACGGAGUGUGACCUUUAUUGAAACUCCUUAACUGAGGACUGUCCCAAGGGAGCAAGAGAAGAGCGUGGUGCUUUGGUAUUCCACAUUCGUGGUUAGAUGCUUUCCAGAUAUAGUACUGCAUUUCCAGACAUUGCAGCUAACGUCAACUAGGUUAUUAAACUGAAUAUUUAAAUUGUUACAUGGUUUAAAUACUUUGUGAGUUUGGGCUACGUUAAGUUUAUAUGUGUAAAAAAGUCAUUCUUAAAUUACAAAAUCAAGCAGCUUUUGCUUGCAUGACAUCUCAAUCCGUUCCUGGAGAUCUAUUAACCAGGGCCUUGGAAAGUUUGUUUAAACAAUUCAGUCUCUGAUUUAUGGAAUUUAUUGAAUGCUAUAAUCUCUGCAUUCAAUAAAAAUACUACUGAAGUUUCAAACUAUAUCAGAUUUUAUGUCUCCUAAGAAAGAAAAUGAACAGAGUAUAUCCAGAAAUAAAUCCUGAUACUUACAGGGAACAUUAAAAGCAAUUUUAAAACCAAUCAGCAAUGUUCAGUUGAAAAAUUCUUCGAUGGAAAUUGCAGUUUCUGCAAAAAAUAAUAUUCCAGCUUUUAUUUAUAAAAUUGAAACAAGAUCUUUCACUGUGGUUUUGAUCUACCAUAAUAAUAAUAAUAAUAAUAAAAAUCUCUUUUUGAAAAUGAAUCCAAACUCUUUUGGGGGUGGCUGCCUUCAGUUUAAGCUCUUGUGCUUCAGUUGGCUCCUGUCAGCUGUGGAUCAAUGCCAUUUAUAAAUGGGGUUUGCCAGCAACGCAGGGACCGUCCUGGAAACUUCCCUUCCUGCUGCCUUUUCCUUACAUCUCUAACUCCCUGCUCUCAGUUGUGUGAAUUGAUGAUGUGGGGAAGGAAUUUUCUGUUAAUCAGCCGGUCACUGACAGAAACACCUGAGGUGUUUGUGCUUUUCAUCAUGGCAGGAAUUUUGGAGGAAAAAAGUCAACCACAAGUCUUCCCAGCGGAAGGGAGAACCAAGGAAGGGGUGAUGUUCUCCAAGUGUAAUAAGCUGCUUACACACUAGUAAGGUUUUGUAUUUGAUUGUAAGUUUUAAAACUUGAAUCCAGGUAUGGUUGUGCUGAAGACCCACAAUAAUAAGAAUGUGUGUUGCUCAGAACAUCCAUCUUUAGAAAUGUUGAGAUCUUUUUCCUACUUGAUUCAGCAUUUGUUUCUCUUUGAAUUUUCAAGGUGUUGAGUUGUCCUUGUCUAGUCUGACCACCUCCCAGCAUAAAAGACAUCUCUCCUGGUGCAUGAUGGUUACAGAACUCCCAGUAUAACCUGAAGUCAUUCCUCUGACUGGAAGGAACCUGCACAGUCCACACAGAGAGCCUGGCCAGCAGACACAGCCAGAGAUGUGAAGCAUCCUCUCCUUGCUUCUCCCUUCCAAUGGGAAGGCUUUUGUCAUAGCUUAGAUGAAAAAAGGUACAAGAUGCUCCUACAGGCUGGAAAGGCUCCUUUUUAAUGAAGGAAUUACUCAAAUCAGCACAUCCUGCUGACCAUGAGACAAGCUUCUCUUCCCUGUUUUCUUCAUGUGAUAUUGAAGCAAUUAAUAGAAUAGAAUAGAAUAGAAUAGAAUAGAAUAGAAUAGAAUAGAAUAGAAUAGAAUAGAAUAAUUUUAGUUGGAAGAGACCCUCAGGAUCAACCAUAACCUAACCUAACUCUGGCAUUAAACCAUGUCCCUAAGAACCUCACCUAUAUGUCUUUUAAACCCCUCCAGGGAUGGUGACUCCACCACUGCCAUGGGCAGCCUGUUCCAAUGCCUGACAACCCUUUCUGUGAAGAAUUGUUUCCUAAUAUCCAAUCUAAACCUCCCCUGGCACAACUUGAGGCCAUUUCUUCUUGUCCUAUCACUUGCUACUUGGGAGAAGAGACCAACGCCAGUAUCCCAAAGGUUGCAAUUGCAAUAUCUUUGAAUUCACUUACCUCCUACCUAAUUUUCUUCUGCCAUAGUAUAAGUUGCUUAUACUUGUGACAGAUCUAGUUCCUGGCCAUGUAAACUCCAUUGAUGAUCGAUGGAGAUGGAAUCAUGUCAUGUCAGAGCACUUCAUCCCAUUCUUAGUGGGAACCUGAGAGUGUCAUGUACGGCCAGACACCUACACUGCAGAUGUUGGUGUCUGCUGAGAUGGAGAUACUCUGUUCCAUGGUGUCUUUUUAUCCCAGCUAUAGCUGAUUAGAAGAGGGUUGAACAAGUCUUUUAAAUUAUCCACCCCCAAAUUACACAGUAAAGUUACAAAUUCCAUAACACUUUCCUCCUUUUUUUUCUUGUAAAGCAAUUAUUAUCCUCUCUUAAUUAAGUAGCCACAGAUUCCAAGGUGUGUUGAUAACAGUUUUUCGGGUUGUCAUUCAUGCUCUGAUCAUGUAUUAAUGACUUUCUCAGCUGUCUGAAGAGCUUGCCUGUUUAAAGUAUUUUGGAAUCCAUCCACUCCAGCUUUUCUCUAGAUUUUUCAUGGCAUUCAAAAGCACAGUUGGACACUUACCCUGCUUAGUGGAGCCCUCAAUUUUGUUUCCAUCUGGAAUCACGCACCAGUACUUGUGGGGCAGUUAACUGGGCCAAAGACAGUAUUAUGGAACUGAUCCUCCAAACUUGGUGAAAAUCUGCUUAAGGGGGUAAGUUGCAGUUGAACACAUUUUCAGAAUUUCUGUCUUUUUGGGUUGUAUUUUUGCAGGAACACUAGAUUUUAUUUCAACAGUUUCCACUUCAUUCAUGCAUAAUAUUUAUCUUGCAUAGAGGACAUAUUCUACCAGUGUCCAAGUGCAUCUCUAAAGCAGGUAAAUGUGAUUAAUUUAAUAUAACAGUAGACAGCAAGUUGAUGCUAUGGUCCACAGCCAGCCCUGACUGAUUAGUUGAGUUUGUACAGGGUUGUAUAAUGUCAUGUUUCAUCUUAUGUAAGUAUUAAGCGCUGAUACAUGUGUUGCAUUCCCAAUAGUGCCUUAUUUUUAACCUGUAUUUUAAACUUAUUUUAUUUUAUUGAUCUUGAUAGUAGUGUUUCAUGGAAUCCUAGAAUAGUUUGGGUUGGAAGGGGCCUUCAAAGGUCAUCUAAUCCAACCUCCUGCAAUGAGCAGGGACAUCUUCAAGUAGAUCAUGUUUCUCAGACAUUGGGAUCUUGGUUUUUUUAGUGCAUUUAUUGAAGUAAGUCCAGUAUGAAGAUAGCUGAUAAAACAAGCAGCCAUUAAGUGGGCAAAACCAUAAUGUCUGUCUAACCUCAAGUACUUUUACGACAACUAACACCAGAGGCCAUAUCUAUCAGAUGUGAUGUGCAGGAGCUGUAGACAGCGGGACCAGAAACCUGGGUCCAGACUGCCUCUUUGUAUUGCACAAGUGUGCUCCUACUUACGGUAUAAGACAGGAGCAAGGACCUGACUUAGAUUGGCUGCUAUAUGUCUGACGGUAUCAUGUCAACAAAACAGCCUUGGUUCUUUCCUAAAGGCUUCGACACAGGGAGUAGAGAAGAUGUGGGAUAUCUCUGCAACGGAGACACAAUAGCUUGAGGGCUACAGGUGAUACAUGGGGCACAGAGUACACUGGACUUCAGGCCACCUGUUUGUGUGGUUAGAUACAGCUGUGUUGUAGAAAUGAAGCCAAGGUGGCUGGACCAUACAACAACAGCUCAUCCUACAGCACCUUUGGGAGUCGGGGAAUUGCUGCUCCCCAAAUGAGUAUGAAUGACUUUCUGCAGGGUCAUCUAGAGGUGUGAAUUCUGUUUUCUCAAGUCAUCAGUAUCAGCAGGACCCCAAGAGUGUUUGACCUCAUUCAAUGCACAUAACACUUAAGGCCAUCAUCUGUAUUAUGCCCCAAGAGAUGGUGUAAAUGUUCUAUUGGCAGGUGUGUUGCCACAAUCUAUUAGGGCUGGGUUGUAUUUGUGAGGCUUUAUAGAAAAUGUGUCUGCUGUGGAUUUUUUUGGCCUUUAUUGUAUUCACCCACCCCAUCUGUUAUUUUCCUGAAGGAGAAACUUGCAUGAAUCAUCUGAUGACCAUUUUAGAAAGAUUCAGCUGUGGGGUUGAUAUUCCAGUUUGCAGAGCAGGGCUGGUACUGCAGGGAUAUAUCAUUUCAGUAUUUCAAACAGCUGCAGCCUUCUCCACUGACUCGGAUUUAUAGGAGUGAUGAAAUGCUCUAGCAUUUCCAUGCACUUCUAGGCUGAACCAGAAACACUAAACACUAAAUACUAAACACUAAAAUCUGCCCUUCGUGCUAUUGACAUUUACAGCGCAAGUUCCCUCUCAGCCAAACCCCAAGCCUAAAUUUCAGAGUGGUUUGUUAAAUUUAAAGAGACAUCGAGGAGCUGAGUGGAUUGGGAAUGGGAAGCAGAAGUUGCUUGGGGUUUGGUAAGUUGUCUGCUGUGGACCAUUGUGCAUGGGACAGUCCCUUGUGUACAGGGUGACCCCUUGUGUACAGGGUGGUCCCUUGUGCAUUGGACGGCCCCUUGUGCAUAGGACGGUCCCCUGUGCAUGGGGUGGCCCCUUGUGUAUGGUGGGUGGCCCCUUGUGCAUGGGAUGGCCCCUUGUGCAUGGGGUGGCCCCUUGUGUAUGGUGGGUGGCCCCUUGUGCAUGGGAUGGCCCCUUGUGCAUGGGGUGGCCCCUUGUGUAUGGUGGGUGGCCCCUUGUGCAUGGGAUGGCCCCUUUUGCACGCAACAGUUCUUUGUGAACAGGAUGAUCCCCUGUGCAUGGGGUGGUCCCUUGUGCACAGGAUGGUCCCUUAUGCAUGGGGUGGCCUCUUCUGCACAGCAGAGCUGUGCUGUGGCCGACAGGAGCAGCUCCAGCUGGGCAGCAGGUGUGCAGCAGUGGUGACCUGGUUUGGGAGCGACCUCCGCUAACCUCCCCUGCAUGCCAAGAUAAAGAUUUGCCAUAUGUCCCAACACACACUUUCGUGCCAUAAGGUCAUCUUGCAAGUGGUCUUAGAGGGAAGCUGCAUGCCUGUGGGAAAAAAAACACUUUAAAUUUCCCAGAGAAAAACCACUGCUCAAACACUUUUCUACAUGGAUAGAUAAUGUUAAAAAAAAAGGACUUCAAACAUCAGUGGUAAUUCAGUGCUGCUUGCUUCCUAGCUGUGUUAUUAAAAAGCACUUGGACACAAAGGAAGGAAAAUGAAGCAUACAGCUGAAGGUCCCAUGAAUGCUGAAUAAACCAAGAGACAAGAUGUCCUGUGCUCUCACGGCCCUGCUUGAAGCACCAUCAUAGGGUUUCGGAGCACUGAGAUGCGAGUCCUGAGAGGCUGUUAAGAAGUCCUGACUGCAGCGGCAGAAGCAGGAAGGAAUGAAACCUCAACAAGGAGCUCUUUAGCUACCAUGAAGUUUGUGUGCUCCACGGCCUUGUGAAGAUGAUGAGGCUCUAGCUCUUUCUGUCCAUGGAGAAGUGGCAGCAGGUCCAGGAAGGGAAGGCUGGUAUGGAAGUUUCUGAAUGUGCUCUUAAAAAUCUUUGAGCCAACCUGUGACAGCCAGAGGAAAAACAGGACUGGACAAGAGAGUCUGUGGUGUCAAGGCAGUCAUGUAAAGCAAUGAGGACCAUCUUAUUGCUAUGGCUGCCUGGAGAUGUUCCUUUCAAGUUGGCAGAGAUGAGCAGCAUCUAAAGCCAUUGCCUGCUACCUGCUGCUUUUCUGUUCUUACAGGUAAAAUAGAAGUACCAAGAAAAGCAACCUCAUGGUUCCGAAUUUGGGCACUUGAAAGGCUAUACUGGCAUCUAACGAGGCAUGCUCACUUUUUUUUGGAAGCAGAAUCAGUCCCGUGGCUCCAGCACACUUCAUUAAAAAGGUCUUCGGAUUUUCAUUGGAAGAGUAACCGAUGCAAGUAGGAUCUGUAAGAACAAAGGCUUCAGGAUCCUCUGCCCUUGCUGACAUCUAGGCAAUCUCCCACCGAACUGCAAGGAUCUGUUUGCCUCUGAUUUCAGAAUCACACAGGAUCACAGAAUUGACUGGGUUGGAAAAGACCUCAGAGAUCAUCGAGUCCAACCCUUGGUCCAACUCCAGUCCAUUGACUAGAUCAUGGCACUAAGUGCCAUGUCCAAUGUCAGUUUAAAAACCUCCAGGGACGGUCUUCAACUCUCUUACCAUAAAACCAGAAAGAAGAUUCAUGCUUGUUUUGGAAGGAGCACAACCACCACCUGCUGAUCCACACCACGAAUUUGGAACCUGCUCCACAGCCCUCUGAAGUUGGCAGGAAGGCACUUCUGGAUGGCAGGUGGCCCUUUCCCCCAGCAUGUUCCCCUGACGUCCUCCCACUGAGGUGCUUCUUGCAGCUAAUCAUUGGGGCUGUCGACAUCUCUUGGCCGGCUGGUGAGUAUGUGAACUACGGUUCUUGCUCUUGGCAACUACGACCGUAAUUCUCUUACGGCAGCAAUGCCAAGUCUAAAGGCAGCAUAACUGAUGGGAUGAUUUUUUGAGUGGACUCAAAGAAAUUAGCUCAGGUGUGACUAAAUUGUUCCAAUCAAGUUUGCUAAUUUUCUCCGUCUUUUUUAUUCUCUUUAUUCUCCCCCCCCCCACUUUUUUCCCCCUCUCUCAUUCUUUUGGGAAGAAUAAAGUUGCCCUCAGAUUUGAAGAAUUCAUGUGUUGAUUCUCUUUAAUGAAGCUCCAGUACUUCUAAUGAGAAACAAGAGCUGUAAUAUUUAAUGGAGAUUUUGUGAUUCUAACAAUUUUUUUUAAUAGUCUGACACUAUAUUUUCCUGCAUCUGAAAUGAAAAAGAUUGUAUGGCAAUGAGAUGCUAAAAGUUGUUAGAGAGAAGUUUCAUAGGAAAUACAGAAAUUAUUUAGAAGACAUUAGCAAUUAAUUUCUUGUUUUUUCCUCUUCGAAUUCCACUUUGAAGGAAAUGCUGCUAUUAUAGCUUUUGGCUCAACUGUUUCAUUUAUCUGGAUUGUCCUGCAAGACACAAAUAAGGAAAGAGGUGUUUCUGAUUUUUUUCUUUUUACAAACCUUUUGUUGUGAACUGCUUUUGAUUAUGAAGCCAAAUGAAGUAUCCAUUUUUGACCACUCAGGAUUAUCGAAAGGAGUGGAUCUGUGCUGUAUCUUGUCAUAGAUUUUAAACCCAAAUAUUUUAGGGUUAUUUAAUGUAGAAACUUUGUGGGCCCAACUGUCAGUUCCUAAGCACUCAAAGGCAUCUGAAAUCCUGCUGACUCCUCUUAGUCCCUCUUGGUUACUCAGGAAAAGGUCCUGUUUUUCUUCAAUGGGAGCCUUGCCUGGGCAGCAGCUUCAGGACGAAGGUCUGUCUUUUUAUUCAGCUCUCAGUUGGAGUCCGGUUGACUAAUACUGCAAGAUAGUAUUAAUACUUUGCUGUCAGAACUUGUCAAUCCAGAGAAAGCAAGUCUGACUCAUUGGAAAAUAUCCCCACGAGAAACAGACUUUCACAACUGCCUAUCUGCAUGCACGGAAAGAUAAAUGCUACGGUUCAGACUUCCCCCCCCAGAGAGAGACUGUUCUUCAGGAAAAGUCAAAGCAGACACAUGCUCGAAGUAGGCUCAACAGAUUUUACAAGAUAUGACAUAAACGACAAAGAAUUUCUCGCAGUGGCCCUCUGCAGACAGAUUUAUGGAAGAUUGAGGACUUGAGGAUUAAACUCUCUGUUGGCUGGGGUGAGACAACCUGGUUAUUCUGGCCAGCUGGAAAAAGGGACUAGUAGCAAGGUCCAUCUCAAGAAAAUUAAUCUAUUUAAAUGGUGCUAUGCUGUCUUCAGCUGGCGGUGUCGGGGUGACACUGAACAUAAACACUCACAGGUUGUGGCUCACAUUGAUAUCCUUAAGAGAACAACAAGAGGUAUGAGGAAAAUGAUCCCAGGUGUUAAAUUCAUCUCCUCAGAAACUGAACAAAGUGAGGAAAAAGUAAAUUGAAGGGAUGACUUUGUAUAGCAGGGAGCUACGCAACUAGAAGCCAUGAACAAGAUGUACCCACUCUGUGAAAUGAAGAUUAAUGCUACAUUUACCUCAAUAUUUCUGAUAUAAAAGUACACUGGGAGAAAUAUACCUCAGAGGUUUUCAUUGCUAAUGUUCUGGUUUAUAUUCCAUGCACUGCUGGUUUUCAUUUUGCAUUUUCACUGAAAGUCACAUGGCCAAACAGAUCUUUGCUGGCAUCUAGAAGAAUCAUGUGGAGAAGCAAGGAGCUGCAAGGACAGGAUGGGAAAAAUUAUGUGAGUAAAAAUAAAAGGGGAAAAAAAUCAGUAUUAUGGUAUUUUAAAAAGAUGCAGAUGAACCUUUGCUUCAUAUGACAUGCUUUCAGAUUUUUUUUUUUUUUUACAUAAAAUCACCAUGAAAAACAUGAAGAUAAUUAUCUGUACACUUUUUUUUAGGUGUCACCUGACAGAAUGUCUACAGUAUAAUUAACUUGUGGAUGCAGAACCAGAAGAUGCUAAAGAGAAACACAUUUUCUUAAAAGCAAUGCUGAUGGUCAUGCCCUGAAUAUGUUUUUAUAAAUGUUUCUUUCUAGCACAACAUUCUGUGAUUCUGUGAACUAUGGGAAAGCUGGCCCAGGUCAAUACUGGGAUGUUGAUAUUGAAAAGUCUUGCCUAAUUUUUCUUUCUGUGAGUAGUUCUGCUGUUUUCGGUGUGCCUGUCCACAGUGGUGGAGCACAGUAAAUCUGUUGAUCUGCUCCAAACUGUGCAAUGCUCUAAAUGCAUAAGAAAGUUGCAAAGAUCCACCAAACAGUAGCUCUGCAUAUAGACCCUGUACAUAGUUCCUCCUCCUACACAUGCCCCUGUAGGAACUGUUUCUCUAAGCAUCAUUCUUGGAGGCCACUGAAGAGCAGUACCCUCAUGGUGAUGCACUCCGGACACAUGCUCUUUUCUCUGGCUUAUUUCCGUGGUGGCACUACCAAAGGUAACAUACAUGGUCCUACCUACCCUGCCCCAGUCUUUCCCUCUCUAAACCACGUUUCCAUUUGUCCACCUGCCUUUACCCCAUCACAAAGGAAGAACUGCAGACUGAUGGAAAAGCUGAACUGCUUUUGGGUAAGCUUAUGAACUUCUACAUUGAUCAGGCGUACUAUUAUUUGGGGGGUUUGGGUACCUCUCAAUACCACCAUAACCCCUAAAGCAUCCCCCAUACCUCUCAGGUAUGCAGGGUUACUGCUGCAGGGGACUGGGGGGCAGCCUAAACCCAAUUUUUAUUAUUCACUACUGUUGGGAUUGGCCUUUCCUAAUGAUGUGGAAAAGGGAGAAGUCCCCAAGUCAACUUUCUGUACAGCAACAGGGAAAUGUAAUGUGCAGCAUUUCCUCCACGUGCUUAUCUGGGGGAAAUGACAUGGACUAACUAUAAUGAGUAAUUUCUUUUUGAAAAGUAUUUACAGAACUUCAUUAAAAUUUGUUACCUUCUUCUCUUCACCAAUAAACCCCAAAGUGCCUGAUGAAAAAACAUUGGUAUUACUAUCCCCAUUUUAUAAUGCAGGUAUCAAUGCCUGGGUGUCGCAUGGGCUAGAGGCUAGAAUUUCUUCAGCUGGAGUAGAGGACUGUAUUGCUUCAGAGAACUGAGUCCAGCCUUACUUAACCAAGGCCAAAGUCUGCUGGUCUCAAGAAGCUGCUUCACAUCAUUGUCUCUCUCCACUCUCCAGCACCAGACCACUUCCGCUGCAGGUUCCUACUAGGGGGGAAAAUUAGAAGUUCAACAAGAACAACUUAAAACAGGAGGAAACAAAUGAUCACGAAAACAAAAACCACACUCAGAAAAGCCUGUUGGUCAUCAUUAGGUUUUCUAGCUCUUCUUGUGCAAAGCUGUAGGAU